AUACGUAGGGGGCAAGCGUUGUCCGGAAUCAUUGGGCGUAAAGCGCGUGUAGGCGGCCUGCCAAGUCCGAUGUGAAAGCUCGGGGCUCAACCCCGAGUCUGCAUUGGAAACUGGCAGGCUUGAGUCCGGAAGAGGAGACUGGAAUUCCUGGUGAAGCGGUGAAAUGCGCAGAUAUCAGGAAGAACACCGGUGGCGAAGGCGGGUCUCUGGGACGGUACUGACGCUGAGACGCGAAAGCGUGGGGAGCAAACAGGAUUAGAUACCCUGGUAGUCCACGCCGUAAACGAUGGGCACUAGGUGUGGGAGGUGUCGACUCCUUCCGUGCCGAAGCUAACGCAUUAAGUGCCCCGCCUGGGGAGUACGGCCGCAAGGCUAAAACUCAAAUGAAUUGACGGGG
rnacentral:rRNA from 1 species